rnacentral:tRNA from 1 species
GGCACUGUGGCGGAGUGGUUAACGCGUUGGACUCGAAUUCCUAGGGUAUCCAAUCUCUUCGGGGGCGCAGGUUCGAAUCCUGCCGGUGUCG